UUUUGAUUAGAUCUCAAAUCAGGUAGGACUACCCGCUGAACUUAAGCAUAUCAAUAAGCGGAGGAAAAGAAACUAACAAGGAUUCCCCUAGUAGCGGCGAGCGAAGCGGGAAGAGCUCAAAUUUAUAAUCUGGCACCUUCGGUGUCCGAGUUGUAAUCUCUAGAAGUGUUUUCCGCGUUGGACCGCACACAAGUCUGUUGGAAUACAGCGGCAUAGUGGUGAAACCCCCGUAUAUGGUGCGGACGCCCAGCGCUUUGUGAUACACUUUCAAUGAGUCGAGUUGUUUGGGAAUGCAGCUCAAAUUGGGUGGUAAAUUCCAUCUAAAGCUAAAUAUUGGCGAGAGACCGAUAGCGAACAAGUACCGUGAGGGAAAGAUGAAAAGCACUUUGGAAAGAGAGUUAACAGUACGUGAAAUUGUUGGAAGGGAAACGCUUGAAGUCAGACUUGCUUGCCGGAGCUUGCUUCGGUUUGCAGGCCAGCAUCAGUUUUCCGGGGUGGAUAAUGACGGUUUGAAGGUAGCAGUCUCGGCUGUGUUAUAGCUUUCCGUUGGAUACGCCCUGGGGGACUGAGGAACGCAGCGUGCUUUUUGCGAAAGACUCGUCUUUUUCACGCUUAGGAUGCUGGUGGAAUGGCUUUAAACGACCCGUCUUGAAACACGGA
rnacentral:rRNA from 1 species